rnacentral:rRNA from 1 species
UUGCAGGCUGCAACUCGCCUGUAUGAAGUCGGAAUUGCUAGUAAUCGUGGAUCAGCAUGCCACGGUGAAUACGUUCCCGGGCCUUGUACACACCGCCCGUCACACCAUGGGAGUCGGUAACACCCGAAGCCUGUAGUCUAACCGCAAGGGGGACGCAGUCGAAGGUGGGAUUGAUGACUGGGGUGAAGUCGUAACAAGGUAAC